GACGAACGCUGGCGGCGUGCUAAUACAUGCAAGUCGAGCGAAGUUUUUUGGUGCUUGCACUAGAAAAACUUAGCGGCGAACGGGUGAGUAACACGUAAAGAACCUGCCUCAUAGACUGGGACAACUAUUGGAAACGAUAGCUAAUACCGGAUAACAGCAUUAACUGCAUGGUUGAUGUUUAAAAGUUGGUUUUGCUAACACUAUGAGACGGCUUUGCGGUGCAUUACGCUAGUUGGUGGGGUAAAGGCCUACCAAGGCGACGAUGCAUAGCCGACCUGAGAGGGUGAUCGGCCACACUGGGACUGAGACACGGCCCAGACUCCUACGGGAGGCAGCAGUCAGGGAAUCUUCCGCAAUGGGCGAAAGCCUGACGGAGCAACGCCGCGUGAGUGAAGAAGGAUUUCGGUUCGUAAAGCUCUGUUGUUAGGGAAGAAUGAUUGUGUAGUACACUAUACACAGUAGAGACG
rnacentral:rRNA from 1 species